rnacentral:sRNA from 1 species
GCCGGGUGUGGUGGUGCACACCUGUAAUCCCAGCAGCUCAGGAGACUGAGGCAGGAGGAUCGUGAGUUCAAAUCCAGCCUUGG